rnacentral:rRNA from 1 species
UACGAGAGGCCCAAACGUUAUUCGGAAUUACUGGGCUUAAAGAGUUCGUAGGCGGCGCAGCAAGUCGGGUGUGAAAGCCCUCGGCUUAACCGAGGAAUUGCGCCCUAAACUACUGUGCUUGAGGAACCUAGAGGUGAGCAGAACUGAUGGUGGAGCGGUGAAAUGCGUUGAUAUCAUCAGGAAUACCGGAGGCGAAGGCGGCUCACUGGGGGUUUUCUGACGCUGAGGAACGAAAGCCAGGGGAGCGAACGGG